UACAGAGGGUGAGAACGUUAAUCGGAAUUACUGGGCGUAAAGCGCGAGUCGGUGGCGACGUAAGUCGGGUGUGAAAGCCCCGGGCUCAACCUGGGAAUUGCAUUCGAGACUGCAUUGCUGGAGUACGGAAGAGGAGGGCGGAAUUCCCGGUGUAGCGGUGAAAUGCGUAGAUAUCGGGAGGAACAACAGUGGCGAAGGCGGCCCUCUGGUCCAGUACUGACACUCAAGUGCGAAAGCGUGGGGAGCAAACAGG
rnacentral:rRNA from 1 species